CUUUAACUGGACAUGAGUGAUUGCGGUCGAAAUUUGGGAUGUUGAUGGCGAUAAGGUGCGGGCGCCUCAGGUGGGGCAUCGCCAAUUGUAUUUCUUCCCUUUGUUGUCUCUCUCUUACCUCGCCUCCUCUCACGGCAAGAGUGGUCUUCUUGCUAUUGUAGGUGCAUAAGUUAAAAACAGCUGAAGGUAUGGUCCUUCUUUAGGUGCCCAUUCAAUUAUAAGUUCAUAGUGAUCACCAUAACGUGUAGUUAAUUAAAUGUUGUACCACUUUUUGCAGACUUAUUAACAACUUAAUAGGGACCAACGCAUCACGGCUGCCACAAAGAACAAAGAGGAGGUGUCCAUGCCCCGGGUUCCAUUUUACAGGGGCAUACUCGAGCAGCAUAGGUGACGAAGCUGACUGGAUCACCAAGAAAUUUCAUCGUUUUCUGCCCGAGCAAGCAGAAGAACAAAGGAAUGAAUUUGCCUUGAGUGUCAUCCGGGGAUUCUCUAUUCAGAUGCGUUAAGCUGGCUGAACUACAGAACGUCGUCAGUGUUGAAGAUCCUGGGACCGUGGCUACAACUGCGGCUGUCAGAAAGAGCUAUUCCCGUGCACUUGAAGCUUUUCGAGUUCAUCGACCUGAAUGACGAGCUGCAUGCUCUUGUGUGUGCGCAUCGUUCAAUCUCAUCUUCUUCGCCUCUUUCUCUGCCACUUUCUUUUAGUGCAUGUUUCGCUACAUUACUUUUUUUCCUGUUCUCUCUCCAGAUAUCCUUCAUAUAAAAUUUUAUUAACAACU